rnacentral:rRNA from 1 species
AUUGAACGCUGGCGGCAUGCCUUACACAUGCAAGUCGAACGGCAGCACGGGUGCUUGCACCUGGUGGCGAGUGGCGAACGGGUGAGUAAUACAUCGGAACGUACCUUAUCGUGGGGGAUAACGCAGCGAAAGCUGUGCUAAUACCGCAUACGCCCUGAGGGGGAAAGCGGGGGAUCGCAAGACCUCGCGCGAUUAGAGCGGCCGAUGCCUGAUUAGCUAGUUGGUGGGGUAAAAGCCCACCAAGGCGACGAUCAGUAGCUGGUCUGAGAGGACGAUCAGCCACACGGGGACUGGGACACGGCCCAGACUCCUACGGGAGGCAGCAGUGGGGAAUAUUGGACAAUGGGCGAAAGCCUGAUCCAGCCAUGCCGCGUGAGUGAUGAAGGCCUUAGGGUUGUAAACCACUGUCGGGAGGGACGAAUGCCCCGCAAGGGGAGCGACGGUACCUCCAAAGGAAGCACCGGCUAACUCCGUGCCAGCAGCCGCCGUAA